GAUGAACGCUGGCGGCGUGCCUAAUACAUGCAAGUCGAGCGAACGGACGAGAAGCUUGCUUCUCUGAUGUUAGCGGCGGACGGGUGAGUAACGCGUGGAUAACCUACCUAUAAGACUGGGAUAACUUCGGGAAACCGGAGCUAAUACCGGAUAAUAUUUUGAACCGCAUGGUUCAAAAGUGAAAGACGGUCUUGCUGUCACUUAUAGAUGGAUCCGCGCUGCAUUAGCUAGUUGGUAAGGUAACGGCUUACCAAGGCAACGAUGCAUAGCCGACCUGAGAGGGUGAUCGGCCACACUGGAACUGAGACACGGUCCAGACUCCUACGGGAGGCAGCAGUAGGGAAUCUUCCGCAAUGGGCGAAAGCCUGACGGAGCAACGCCGCGUGAGUGAUGAAGGUCUUCGGAUCGUAAAACUCUGUUAUUAGGGAAGAACAUAUGUGUAAGUAACUGUGCACAUCUUGACGGUACCUAAUCAGAAAGCAACGGCUAACUACGUG
rnacentral:rRNA from 1 species